GGCGACGUGGCCGAGUGGUUAGGCAACGGACUGCAAAUCCGUGUACCCCGGUUCGAUUCCGGGCGUCGCCUCCA
rnacentral:tRNA from 1 species